rnacentral:miRNA from 1 species
AUCGGGGCAGUGGCGGCAGGC